rnacentral:rRNA from 1 species
CCUACGGGUGGCUGCAGUGGGGAAUAUUGGGCAAUGGAGGCAACUCUGACCCAGCAAUGCCGCGUGAGUGAUGACGGUAAUUUUAUUGUAAAGCUCUUUUCUUUGGAACGAAUAAAUGACGGUACCAAAGGAAUAAGCCCCGUCUGACUACGUGCCAGCAGCCGCGUUAAUACGUAGGGGGCCAGCGGUGUUCGGAAUGACUGGGCGUACAGGGUGUGUAGGUGGUGUGAUAAGUUAGAAGGGUAAUACCAAGGGCUUAACUCGGGUGCAGCAGCUAAAACUGUUAGACUUGAGUACUGGAGAGGAUAGUGGAAUGCCUAGUGUAGCGGUGGAAUGCGUAGAUAUUAGGAGGAACAGCAGUGGCGAAGGCGACUAUCUGGACAGAAACUGACACUGAGGCACGAAAGCGUGGGGAGCAAACAGGAUUAGAUACCCGUGUAGUC